rnacentral:piRNA from 1 species
UGCUUAGCCUGGAGAUGCUCACUCCUCAA